rnacentral:pre_miRNA from 1 species
UACAUACAUACAUACAUACAUACAUACAUAUUGUAUGCUUUAUGUAUGUAUGUAUGUAUGUAUGUAUGUAUGCU